UACAGAGGUCUCAAGCGUUGUUCGGAUUCAUUGGGCGUAAAGGGUGCGUAGGCGGCGCGGUAAGUCGGGUGUGAAAUCUCGGGGCUCAACCCUGAAACUGCAUUCGAUACUGCCGUGCUUGAGGACUGGAGAGGAGACUGGAAUUUACGGUGUAGCGGUGAAAUGCGUAGAUAUCGUAAGGAAGACCAGUGGCGAAGGCGGGUCUCUGGACAGUUCCUGACGCUGAGGCACGAAGGCCAGGGGAGCAAACGGG
rnacentral:rRNA from 1 species